GCUUGCUUUGACAGCCCUUAUCCUAACAUUGCAAUUUUACAGAGAAGAUAUGUAAGGGCCCCUGAGCGAGGAUGACACAAAAGUUAGUAUUGUUCUUAAGAGUCUU